AACGAACGCUGGCGGCAGGCCUAACACAUGCAAGUCGAGCGAGGACUUCGGUCCUAGCGGCGGACGGGUGAGUAACGCGUGGGAACGUGCCCUUUGCUUCGGAAUAGCCCUGGGAAACUGGGAGUAAUACCGGAUGAGCCCUUUGGGGGAAAGAUUUAUCGGCGAAGGAUCGGCCCGCGUUGGAUUAGGUAGUUGGUGGGGUAAUGGCCUACCAAGCCGACGAUCCAUAGCUGGUUUGAGAGGAUGAUCAGCCACACUGGGACUGAGACACGGCCCAGACUACUACGGGAGGCAGCAGUGGGGAAUCUUAGACAAUGGGGGAAACCCUGAUCUAGCCAUGCCGCGUGAGCGAUGAAGGCCUUAGGGUUGUAAAGCUCUUUCAGCUGGGAAGAUAAUGACGGUACCAGCAGAAGAAGCCCCGGCUAACUCCGUG
rnacentral:rRNA from 1 species